UUCAGAUAUAUAACCCCACCUGACACCUGUUCUUAACAGUUUAGUCUCGGCUGAAAUAUAAAGCUUCCUCGGUGAAAUGAGGCUGCUAGCAGUUAUCUUUUUUGCUUGUCUGCUGCUGUUUGGGGAGGCACAGCAGUCACAGCCUUGUCCAGGCAAGUGUGACCUGGAGUGGCGUCCCGUUUGUGGUCUCAGUGCUAAGAGAGGUGUUCGUACCUUCAGCAAUGUCUGUAUGCUAAGUGACUGGAACCGCUGCAAUCAAGGAGAUUAUCAAGUAUCAAAGUUUGCUGUCUGCUAGAACUCGAACGUCAAGACAUCAGUGUAGCCAAAAAAUGUACGUUUUAUAGUCAACUAUACAGCAAGACAUGGUUGAAUUUAACACAUGUAUAUUAUGACCUAAUGCCAAUAAAAAACCAUUCC